CCCGCCCCCGCCCUCGCCACCGCCACCUGGCCUUGACCUUCAAGGAUGGACCUUGCGGAGCGGCUGCUGCUUGCUGUACGGUGCGUGAACUCACCAGAGCGAGAGACAUCGAGACAGAGAGAGGAGGAAAGGCGCCCGAAGGCAGGAAGAACACCGAUGGCCGUGACGUCUUCUGUCCCCCCGUACCAGCCAGGGCGUUGUGAGGACGUCCUCCACGGGGUCACCAGGGCUCCAGCGUGGAGGGCCGGGUCCCCGAGGUCUCCCGGCGGCCCUCCUCUGGAGACAUUCCACCAGCAUGCCAGCCCCGCAGCUCUGCAGGGGAGAAGGGCGGGGAGCCUAGGAGUGAGGAUCCAGGCCGCCUCCCUCAUCACUCAUCUUAGCAAGCCAUCACCGGGCGGUCGGGACGCCAGGCCAGCAUCCCCUCUGGGGCCCUGUUGGCGCCGUAACCUCUACACGACCUUGGGGUCCCAUACAGCCAUCCCCGACCACCCGCCUGGCCCACACGGUCGUGGGCGUUAUCCGCCUUGCCCUUGUGUAAAUGCGUGACUCACAGGGCUUCCAAAGCCAGGGGGGCAGCCUGGAGGAGGUGUCUGCUCUUACCCUUGGGCACGCCAGUGCAGAAGCAGUCAGCUUGUACCCUCGUUAAGGUAGGUGCCCACAGGGCCUGAGCGCUCCGCUCUCAGACGCAAUCCGCCACGUGAAAACCGACAGGAACCCCUGGCAGCUCCCUCCUGCGGGCAGAGCAGACCCAGGAGACUCCCCUGUGUACCUUGUGGCCAGCGAAACCGAACGACCUUCACCCAGUCUGCUUCAAAGACCGAGAACGUCCUACAAGAAGAGGGAUCCCCCAGACCCCCUGGACCGUCCAGACUGGAGACUUUGCACCCGGGAUCCGAGCGUUCCCGGAAGGUUCUAGAACCAAACCUGGCGUCCCUUCCAGGCGAACUCUAAGCCAUGCAGGAAGCACUUUGUCCGUGGCGUGCGGCGUGAGAAUGCCUCGCCCGGCCCAGCGCCGGGAAGGACUCUCAGCUGUUGGCUUCUCUUCUUUUCCCUUUUUCUUUUCUUUCUUCUUUUGUAACUGUCGUGUCUCCCACCUGUGAAGGACCAGGCAGAAAUGAGAGAGGCCCCCCCUCCCCGGCGGGCGCCUGGGUCCAGGCCCGGCCGCCCCCACGCUGACCCCUCGCGCCCGGCCAGCAUCUGUCCAUCGUCCCGAGGCCCGUCCUUGUCCUGCAGGUGUGAUGUCCGAGGCCUCGUGUUGUCGUCCAUAGCUUCCGCCUCUGCUCCCCACGCGGACAGAGGCCGACUCAGACAGGGCUGAGACAUUACGGCUAUUCCAGAAAAUAAAAUAUUUUUGAA